AUCUGGCAGCCAGCCCACCGCAGAGAAGAGGGAACUCCGCAGAGAAGAAACUAGCAACGAGGCCCCAAAGGUGGAAGUGCAGCCUGAGAAACUUGAGCCAGCCCGGGACUGUGCCGGCCUUGCCACUCACUCUGCAGGGUGUGGCGUGCAGGACCCCUCCGGCUUCACAAGACUGAUAUGCCUCCUGUGACAGAGAAACGGAAGCCCAAGGAGGUGAAAUAACUUGCCCCAGGACGCACAAGCAGGAAACAGAGGAGCCAGGAUUCAAACCCCCUGUGUGGCCAUCCCUGGAGCCCAGACUCUGACCGCAGCAACUUCAGCUUUCAAGUGAAAAUCAAGAUGAUGAGUUUUUAUGUUCAGAUGGAUUAUUUAAAGUAGCAUGAAAAUUCAUACAAUGAACUACGACACAGCAGUUGGAAUGAACAAAUGACAUCACACAAUAACAUGGAUGAAUUUUACCAACAAAAAAGUAAACUAAAGAAGCCAGAGACAGAAGAGAGCACAACGUAGCUACACGUUAAAGUGUUCAGUCACCUCGAAAACCUCGAGGCAACUGCCGGAUGUUCCAAAGUCAAGAUCCUCCACAGACAGGAAAUGCCUCUGCCAGCUCCAAGGUCUCCUCCCGGCAGCCCUCUCCAUUGUCUGCACAGAUUUGUGUACAUCCGACUGAAAAGAUUUACCGCCUGCUGGAGCCAAUCAAAGAGCCACCUUAAAAGAAGGGAGUCAGUGAGGGCUUUCUAGUUUUUCUAGCUAACACUUAGUGCCCAUUCUGUACCACGUAUAACGCUCCCUCUCAGGUGAGCUGCCCACCUCUCUAGGAACUGGGGCUGAGAAUUCACAUUUCCCAAGGUCCCCAACCAGCAAGAGACGUAGGAGACUCGUCAACCAUACUUGCAGCUCUGCUCUUAUCCACCAUGGUAUAAUUUCUGCAAUAGGUGUCUCCACAGCCAGAUCUGAAGGGGUAGCUGCUGUUCGGAGGACCUUGGAUCGAUUUUGGUGGGUGGUAGGAAUCUCCAAAGUGCUUGUCAUUUGGAUUCAACAACAAUACCAAAAAAUGUAUCAAGGGACUGAAAUUCGAUUAGACAAGUACAGAGUCCAGCUGGAAUCUCAUGAAACCCCAAGCGAUGAAAAGGAAAUGUUGGUAUAACAUCUGAUUAUUUUUACAAGAUACCAAACUCCUAACCAUUUAGAAGCAUCCUGGGUAACUGUUUGGUUCUCCACCUUCUGUCCCGUGUUAGGAGUCACAAAAGCCUCACCUCCAAUCACAGAUUUAAAGGAUCAUUGAUAUUCGAUUUUAAAGAAAAAUCUAAAGAGUGAGCUUCUGAGUUCACGUCAUCUUCCAGAAGGCAGUAUAACUGGAAUGGGAAUUUUGGUAAAGACAGUCUGUCCCCAACAAAAUGCACUUCCCCCAAGUCUGAAUACAUUUUCUUGAAUCUCUACCCUGUCUCCAUUAAGUAAAAUGAAUAUUCACAGCAAUGAAACCACCACCAAAAAAAAAAAAGUUGUCAGAAAUGUUG